rnacentral:lncRNA from 1 species
GACAAUGUUGGUCGUGCCCAUCGCCUUCAGGUAGGUGUUGCUUGAAUGCAGACGUCAAUGUUACCGAUGCAGACCUAAACCGUCGGUGUUGGUCAUGCCCAUCGCCUUCGGGCAGGUGUUGUUUGAGUGCGGAAGCAGACCCAAACCGCCAGUGUUGGUCAUGCCCAUCACCUUCUGGUAGAUGUUGCUUGAGCGUGGACACCAGUGUUACUGAGGCAGACCCAAAUCGUCGGUGUUGGUCAUGUCCAUCUCCUUCGGGUAGGUGUUGCUUGAGUGCAGAGGCGGACCCAAAUCGCCAAUGUUGGUCGUGCCCAUCGCCUUCGGGUAGGUGCUGCUUGAGUGUGGAUACAAGUGUUACCAAUGUAGACCCAAACCGUCGAUGUUGGUCAUGCCCAUCACCUUCAGGCAGGUGUUGCUUGAGUGCAGAAGCAGACCCAAACCGCCAGUGUUGGUCAUGCCCGUCACCUUCAGGUAGGUGUUGCUUGAAUGCAGACAUCAGUGUUAUAGAGGCAGCAGACCCAAACCGCCGGUGUUGGUCAUGCCCAUCACCUUCCGGCAGGUGUUGCUUGAGUGCAGAAGCAGACCCAAACCGCCAAUGCUGGUCGUGCCCAUCGCCUUCAGGCAGGUGUUGCUUGAAUGUGGAUGUCAA